GACGAACGCUGGCGGCGUGCUUAACACAUGCAAGUCGAACGGAAAGGCCCUGCUUUUGUGGGGUGCUCGAGUGGCGAACGGGUGAGUAACACGUGAGUAACCUGCCCUUGACUUUGGGAUAACUUCAGGAAACUGGGGCUAAUACCGGAUAGGAGCUCCUGCUGCAUGGUGGGGGUUGGAAAGUUUCGGCGGUUGGGGAUGGACUCGCGGCUUAUCAGCUUGUUGGUGGGGUAGUGGCUUACCCAGGCUUUGACGGGUAGCCGGCCUGAGAGGGUGGCCGGGCACAUUGGGACUGCGAUACGGCGCAGACUCCUACGGGGGGCAGCAGUGGGGAAUAUUGCACAAUGGGCGGAAGCCUGAUGCGGCAACGCCGCGUGUGGGAUGACGGCCUUCGGGUUGUAAACCGCUUUCGCCUGUGACGAAGCGUGAGUGACGGUAAUGGGUAAAGAAGCACCGGCUAACUACGUG
rnacentral:rRNA from 1 species